UACGAAGGGGGCUAGCGUUGUUCGGAUUUACUGGGCGUAAAGCGCACGUAGGCGGAUCGUUAAGUCGGGGGUGAAAUCCUGGAGCUCAACUCCAGAACUGCCUUUGAUACUGAGGAUCUUGAGUUCGGGAGAGGUGAGUGGAACUGCGAGUGUAGAGGUGAAAUUCGUAGAUAUUCGCAAGAACACCAGUGGCAAAGGCGGCUCACUGGCCCGAUACUGACGCUGAGGCACGAAAGCGUGGGGAGCAAACAGG
rnacentral:rRNA from 1 species